GAAAAAUUCAAAUUUUCAUGACACUUUAUGAGUUUCCCAAAUUUGGAGGCAAAAGUGAAUACCAUAUGUUACAGUAUAGUAUUUGCUAUGAUUUGAUGAUUGCAAACCUUACAUUGGUUCCAAAGAAAUAAUAAAGGUAUAUGAAAAUCUCAUCUUUCAAGUUGAUUGUGACCUUUGCAGGUAUAUUUUAAUAUAUCCAUGGACUUGAUAGACACCUUCUUCACGAGAGGUGUAUAAACUUAAUAUUUUGCGAUAUACAUGUAUAUAUGAUUGAAUGGGUCGGUAGUGUGCAGGGUACAAGAUUUAAGAUAAAGAAACAAAAGGCCCCUAAUUUUAUAUUUGUUUUUGCUACUUUUUCAGUUUAUCUGUACAAGAACAUAGUGGUUAGAAUUUCUUUAUCCCUUAUAGAGACCUGCAGUUUACAAUAUCAGGAUUUCAAAAUUCCCUGACCUCUUUUUUAUUGUUAUAUUACUUUUAUCCUCUUUUAACCCUAUCAAGAAUAACAGCAACAUUUGGUUUCUAAAUAAAAUAUAGACAUAGAUUUUAUACGAAACUAUGAAAUAGAAUAUCAUUAGGUAAAAAUUUGUUUUGUCUUCAUGCAUAUAUUUGGUCUACUGUGUAAACCUUUUCCUACGUCUACCUCUGAAGGUGUGAGUCUAUCAUAUUUUUUUCCAUUGGCGAGUAACCAUUUAACUUCAAGUGGAGGGAGAUGGGUUAUGGUUAUUUCUGAGUCAGAAUUUUUACCCCCGUGCAAUGCACUGUAGAGUAUUGACAAAAAUCUGGAUCCAGAUAAAAAAAAAUCUCAUCUUCAGGACCAGAAUAUUUUUUCCCCCAAAUUGGGAUUCUGAGGAAAAAAACAUAAAACAUAACCAACCAACCCCCUUGAUGUUAAAUGGUUGUUCCCUUAGUAAUGUUCAUUUUUGACUACUUAUUGGGCUUCUGUAGGACCCACUUUUGGGUCAAGGUCAUGUUUAGAACUGUCAAUGGUCACAAGGUCAUGUUUAGAACUGCCAAAGGUCACAAAGUCAUAUUUAAAGUUGCCACAGGUCACCAGGUCAUUUUUAAGCAGAAUAUAGUUUAAAUGUAAUCUGAUUAUUUGAUUUAACAUUUUUAAAAGUCACAGGCCCUUUUAACUAUGACCUCAUGUUGCGAGGUCUCCCACCAUGCCCUCUGGUCACAGAUGUUAGAGUAAAUUUAGGCUUCUUAAAAGUCGUCUUAUCGACAUUAAAUUCAUAAAAAUAUCUUGGGUAUUCAUAAACAAGGCAGCAGCCCAACACCACUGGAAAAUCCAAAAUUACAUUAUCCAUUUCUAACUCUUUAUUUCUUCAAUUCACUCAAGUCUUCUGAUUAAGAUAUUUAAAAAUUUACUGAAUCUUUGAAACAAUUAAAUGGUAGGUGUAAAUCAUUUUCAAAGAUGAAUCUAACGAAAAUUGUACUUUUAUCACUUGUUUUGGAUUAACAAUUUUUACUUUUAAUCACUUAAAAGACUGUCCUGCCAUCACUUCCAAGGCUUUGUUUGGCUAUAGUGGCCAAGAUUGUUUGUUAAAGAUAAAUUCUGACUUACUGUAUAGAUCUCUUAUCCUCAAACUUUUCAGUAGAAUAGAUAAAAAGGUACAUUGACUUACACAUUGCAGGUUGGGAUUCAAUGGUGUGGGGAGGUUGUUUGGCUAUUGUAGAACUUAAUUAAAAAAAUCUUGAAUUUGAACUUAAAAAUAAUGAACUAUGUUAAAUACAUCUUCUCCUUCAUCUAAAGGGGAUUUUAUAUAAGAUUUUCCUAAAAUUAGUAUUUGAAAAGAAAAAGAAAACAUAUUUCAACUUUCUACUGUUGGCAUAUAUUUUGGUGUCACAAAAGUCAAAAGCCCUUGAUUUGCCUCUGCAUUAUAUUCAUGCUUUUCCGCAGAACUUUAAAUAACAGGAAAUAAUGUAUACAUAAAGGUAUAACAUUGGUAAUAUGAUUUAUAAUGAUUGAUGCCAGUUAUUGUGAUAUUUGCACUGUGUAUAUGCAUCAAUGUUUUUGAAAAAUUUGAAAACC
rnacentral:lncRNA from 1 species